rnacentral:RNase_P_RNA from 2 species
GGAAUUGGCUGAGUAGUCGCUGCUUCGUUGACGUCCCUUCAAACUCGUCUGUAUAGGCAAGGGUGGGGGAGACUGACGGAGGGGAGGAAAGUCCGGGCUCCAUAGAGCAGGGUGCCAGGUAACGCCUGGGGGCUGCCGUUUUAAGACGGCGGUCACGACAAGUGCAGCAGAGAGAAAACCGCCGAUGGCCUCUUUUAUAGAUGGCACAGGUAAGGGUGAAAGGGUGCGGUAAGAGCGCACCGUACGUCUGGUAACAGUGCGUAGCAGGGUAAACUCCACUCGGAGCAAGACCAAAUAGGCCUUCACACAGCGCGGCUCGCGUUAGGAGGCGGGUAGGUUGCUUGAGCCAGUGAGCGAUUGCUGGCCUAGACGAAUGGCUACUACCGCGCAAGCGGAUACAGAACCCGGCUUAUAGGCCAAUUCCCUCU